AACCAACUUCUGAAUCUAUCAUCUAUUCGGCACAAAUAAAUCACGUUUGAACUCUUUUCUGGACAUAAAGGACUGAGUGUGAUUUAGCCCGUGUCCACUGUAUAUGUUAUCGCUACGAUUGGAUUUUCGACAACGAUGAUUGGACUUUUCUGCAACACAAUUCUCAGGACUCUUUUCGACAUUCGGGACAUUCGAGACACAUGUUGCAUGUUUCAACAUACUUUGAAAUCCAAACGCCAUCUCUUCAGCUGAAAUAUACAGUUCGAAGGUCCUGUGACUUCAUAAUAUGUUCAAUUCAGGAACAGGCCCUCAAACUUGAUAAACAGCACCGACGUGAAUUGCGUAUUUGCUAAAUUUUCAAUCAUCUAUCUCCAUGUGAACAUUUCGACGCGUGCUUCAGAAGCAGACAGAUAUCGACAGAUAUGGAAACUGGCAAUAAGAUGAACCAUUCUUUCAUAUAUCACCAUUAACUGAGGAAAGCAUAACUAAGAAGGGCCUGAUAUCAAAAUCGUCUACAGAAUCCGCCAAAGCCAAAUAUCGUCCUGACUGAUUCGAACCUUGCAAAAGGUUUGUUGAUUGGUCUGUGACGUGCAGAAAGGCUUCAAGAUUAAAUGCAAACUUUGACGAUUUCUACUACCAAGAACACGAUAUGGAAUAACAUUGCUGAACACUUAUUUAUGAAUAAUGUAUAUUGGACCUGAAUCGACGAUUGCCUGAGGAAUUCUAUUGGAUCCUUUUUAUUGUGUGUGCAAGGAAAUAUUUGUUGGAUGGAUAUUCAAUCAUUUGGAUUAUAUUCCUGCCAGACUGAACCGGAGAAUGCUGAGACUGAACAACUAGAUGUCGGGAUCUCCGAGGGCAAAAUGUAAACGACAUUAACGCCUCGACGUGGAUUCAAACCCUACAUCGACAUCUGCAUGCUAUUAAAUAUGAAAAUGUUUACAUGUUCAUAAAUGGGUAAGUAUCAACAGGUAAGUACUGACAAAUUAAUGAUAAUUUCAUUGUCAAAAAGUAAAGUAAGGAAAUUAAGCAAAUUUCAUAUGUCGAAGUUAAUACCAAAAGCAGAGGCAAUACGGCCACAGAAGCUUUAUGGAUGUUUGUUGUAUAUCACGACUUGAAUGAUUAUAUAGAGAUAUAAAGAUAUAUAAUGAAUUAUUUGCAUAUAUUUAUAAACACUAGGGGACAGUUUGGUGAUCUGCUUAAAACUACUAUGAAGAGAUAAGUGAAGAGAUAAAAGGCUACAAAUUAGAAAGAAGUAUGAAAAGCAUAUAUUAAUUGGAAUGAAAAACAGGGCCAAAUAAUUAUAACCAAAUGGAAAGAAUAAUAAUGGGGGAGGGGGUGAGGAAAAAAUACCACAUCUGCUUAUAUUAUGACGUAUUCAUAAAAUUCAUAAGUAUUGGAAUGUUGUUCAAUCCUUUAGAUUACUGGAAGGGAAAGAGAACGACUGCCAGGGAUACAACUUGUAUAUAGGCUCAUACUAUGUGACAAACAUGGCCACCAGGCGACGAGCUGACGAACCGAGGCGAUGGGAUACGACAACGAUGUAGCGAAGAAGGUGACCUACAGAGCGACCACGACGGCUACCAGGUUACGACUAUGGUGAUGGUGAGCAAGCGAUUACGAGACUGAUGGCGACCACGGUAGUAACCAGCGAGGGAAGAAGGGCGGCGGCCAGGGUGACUACCAGGGUGAUGGCAACCAGAGCAACGAACAAGAUGACGGCAACGAUGAUCAUCAGGAUGGAGCCUACCAGGGCGACGGCAUGGACGGCAACCGGAUCUUUACCACGGUAAAGACGACCGAGCCGGGGCGACUACCAAGUGAUAGCUCCGGAGAUAUACAAGAUGAUACACCCUUUGUCUCUUCGCUGCUAAGAAGACGACGAGUGAACUGUAAUCUUAGAUGCUUCCCAGAGAUCACAAUUUAAGUCUGCAGAUGCAAACAUGAGCUACAAGCUAGAUGACAUCCAUGUCAAUGACAACUGCUCUUCACACAAAAAAUAUCAGGACUUCGACGCCCACGCACGAACAAGGGAGAAGCCAAAAAUGAAAUAAAUUUGAAAGAAAGCUUUGAAUCUUGCACAACCAAAAUAAUGUCAUAAACUGUUGCUUGAAAGAGGAUUCUGCAUUAGUUAUUUUCAAUGAUGUACAUCUACAAACAUUCGAGACAUUGGAGGCAGUUUUAAGUGAGAGAG